UACGUAGGGUGCAAGCGUUGUCCGGAAUUAUUGGGCGUAAAGAGCUCGUAGGCGGCUUGUCACGUCGACUGUGAAAACCCGGGGCUCAACUCCGGGCCUGCAGUCGAUACGGGCUGGCUUGAGUGCGGUAGGGGAGACUGGAAUCCUGGUGAGCGGUGAAAUGCGCAGAUAUCAGGAGGAACACCCGUGGCGUAAGGCGGGCUCUCGUAGUACGGUACUGACGCGAGACGCGAAGCGUGGGGAGCGAACAGG
rnacentral:rRNA from 1 species